CCUACGGGCGGCUGCAGUGAGGAAUAUUGGUCAAUGGACGAGAGUCUGAACCAGCCAAGUAGCGUGAAGGAUGACUGCCCUAUGGGUUGUAAACUUCUUUUAUAUGGGAAUAAAAUGGUCACCGUGUGGGAUUUUGUAUGUACCAUAUGAAUAAGGAUCGGCUAACUCCGUGCCAGCAGCCGCGGUAAUACGGAGGAUCCAAGCGUUAUCCGGAUUUAUUGGGUUUAAGGGGGGCGUAGGUGGAUUGUUAAGUCAGUGGGGAAAGUUUGCGGCUCAACCGGUAAAUUGCCGUUGAGACUGGCAGUCUUGAGUGCAGUAGAGGUGGGCGGAAUUCGUGGUGUAGCGGUGAAAUGCUUAGAUAUCACGAAGAACUCCGAUUGCGAAGGCAGCUCACUGGACUGCAACUGACACUGAGGCUCGAAAGUGUGGGUAUCAAACAGGAUUAGAUACCCUUGUAGUC
rnacentral:rRNA from 1 species